AUUGCCUACAGAGUCACAAAGACUUUCUCUUCAGUGAGCCAUUUUCCAGGAGAGACCCCACACUCGUCUGCCUAGAAGUCCCAGAACGAAUCUCCAAAUGGCUUCUACUUCUGCAAGAGAGGACAGCUUUCGGGGUGGUUCCCUGCUGAAAUAAUUUCAACCAAUACUAAUCCAAGAAAAGUCAACAAAUUCUCCCUUUACUGUGACCUGGUUUGAGUUACACGCCUAUCACCUGUAACUAGAGUUGUGAGUAAUACAUAGUGCAAGCCAACGUGGUACACAGCGUUCCUUCCAGCUUGUCUCCCCAGAUGGACCUGGC